rnacentral:rRNA from 1 species
UACGUAGGUGGCAAGCGUUGUCCGGAUUUACUGGGCGUAAAGAGCGCGCAGGCGGUCGUUCAAGUCGCGUGUGAAAGCCCCCGGCUCAACUGGGGAGGGUCACGCGAUACUGAUCGACUCGAAGGCAGGAGAGGGAUGCGGAAUUCCAGGUGUAGCGGUGAAAUGCGUAGAUAUCUGGAGGAACACCGGUGGCGAAGGCGGCAUCCUGGACCGGCAUUGACGCUGAGGCGCGAAAGCCAGGGGAGCAAACGGG